UACGUAAGGGGCAAGCGUUGUCCGGAAUCACUGGGCGUAAAGCGCACGUAGGCGGUUUGUCAAGUUGGGGGUGUAAGCUCUAGGCCUAACCUAGAAAUUGCCUCCAAAACUAGCAUACUUGAGUAUUAGAGGGGAAGCUGGAAUUCACGGUGUAGCGGUGAAAUUCGUAGAUAUUCGGAAGAACACCAGUGGCGAAGGCGACUUACUGGACACAUAUUGACGCUGAGGUGCGAAAGCGUGGGGAGCAAACAGG
rnacentral:rRNA from 1 species